UCCUAGUUAACCUAGGCAGUCUCGCUAGAGUCCCCAUCAUUACAUGCUGGUAACUAGCGACAAGGGUUGCGCUCGUUGCGGGACUUAACCCAACACCUCACGGCACGAGCUGACGACAGCCAUGCAGCACCUGUGUAGCAGUCCUUACGGAAAGCCGCGUUUCUGCGGCGGUCCACUACAUGUCAAGCCCAGGUAAGGUUCUUCGCGUAUCAUCGAAUUAAACCACAUGCUCCACUGCUUGUGCGAGCCCCCGUCAAUUCUUUUGAGUUUCACCCUUGCGGGCAUACUUCCCAGGCGGUGUAUUUAACGCGUUAGCUACGAUACAAAUAGGAUUGAGCCUAUUUACAUCCAAUACACAUCGUUUACGGCGUGGACUAC
rnacentral:misc_RNA from 1 species